AUGAUGUCAUGAGCAAUCCAGUUCAGUGGUGUGCACGCUGAACACUGUAGUCUCAUUCAAACGUUGGAACAGAGGGAGUUGCCAUGGAAACGGGGCGACAACACCAACUGACAAACUUCUCUAACUGCUGUUUCACUGCUUUAAGAAAACUUUGAAAGAGUCCGUUAGUGUCUCAACUAUUUUCAGGCAAGGAGUGAUAAUAUAAUCUCACAAUGGAAGAGAAGCUCCAGAAUUUCAAAGUUUCUGAAGAGAGCUGCUGACAGAAAUAAAGGAAACACAGCUGAGAGGCCUUUGCUGCUCGGACAAUCCGGAUCUGACUCAACAGGUUGAGGAAGACAUAUGGACGCUCAUCUGGAGGGUGAGUCAUGAUGAGGGGGUUAUUAAAGUAAAUUAAUAGCUGCUCUUAGAAGCUGUCUUUGGCAUCUGGAAACAAAUGCAAAGUGGAAGAAAGUUUGCUUAUCUGUGACAGGAGUUGUUUUCUCUACUCAUUAACAUUAAUCUGCAAGUAAAAAGAACAAUUUAAUGAUUUGUGAUGUGAUUUUGCAUUUUCGCUUUCCAAAAAUUGCUUUUGUUUGGAUCAAAGAUAUUCAUAAUCAAAUCUGUGCAUUUUUUUCUUAUGCCUUUGAGUUUUGUCUUAUGUUUUAUAGCUCCUUGCUCUGUUGUCAUCAAAUGUAAUAUUUAAAUCUAUAAAAUAUGUCCUGCUUGGACAAGUUAAAACAAAAGUCAUUUUAGCAUGAGCUGGAAAAGAAUAGUUUCAGUUGCAAUGAAAUGUUACCCGUUUAGGUAUGUUGUUAUUCUCUUUUGUUAGCAGUAAGAUCAGAAAUUGGCACCAUAUAAGUAAAACAGUGUACAAACCCAAUUCCAAACAAAUUGGGACACUGU